UUCGUUUCCACAGAAAUAUCGUCCGCUUCGAACCAGCUUGGUUAGGCUAUUUGGGGGCAGCCAUGGGAUGCACGGAUUCGGUCUUCGGCAUUUGGGGCCGUCGAUUUCCAUUUGGGCUGGCGCCUUGCGAAUCUCACCGUUCGUUUGGUCUUCAUCGCAUCUCAUCUGUUCAUUCGUUGGUUCAACCAUCUUUCAUCCUCUGUCCAACGUUCGUCUGAGAGAUUUUCGAUCUGCUAGUUCUUCCAUUGCUGAUGGGUUUCUGAGCAUACUGUUGAAUCCUCGAUUCCUUGCCCAAAUUGAUUCCAUAGUUUUUAUUCUUUGAGUUUAGCAUUGAUGCUGCGUUUUUGGUGGUGUAGGGUUAUGAGAGAGAAUUUUCAAAUCUUUGAUGACAACGACAAUGCAGAGAUAGUUGUUUUGUGAUUUUGAUUGUUUAGAGGGUGACUUUUGCAUAGGAAGUAUUGAAGGAUGUGUCGAUUUGGGAGAGAAGAAUUAUAAGUGCAUUUACUGUGGUGCACUUUUUUGGUUAAAAGAAUCCAUUCAGCAGCAAGAAGAAGCGUGUAAGCAAGCAACUGCCCAAAUAUAUUUCUCUCUCUCUCUCUCUCUCGAUUUUGCAAGGAUCUCCUAAAUACUUGGAGAAGACUGAGAAUUCCACAAAGCAUCGCAAUUCUAACGACACUUGGCUGCUCACUUUAAAGAACAGUUUGUGGGUAUGGAAGUACUCUCAUACAGUUCUGCACCAUGCUAUGAUACUUUAUUAGUCUCAUGCAAUAAAAGGUAAAGUCAAAUUGUUGUUGAAUCCCUGUUUUGAUUGGUCAUUGUAGAACAGUUUGUGGGUAUGGAAGUACUCUCAUACAGUUCUGCACCAUGCUAUGAUACUUUUAAUUUAAGGUGGAAAUUGAUUGUGAAAAGCUCAAGUUCACAUCAAUUCAGUCUCCUAGGUUUUAGAAAAAACAGAGUUUUUGGUGCUAAAUUUGAUGUUAGAAAGAAGUUUUUGAGCUGUUACAAUUUAGAUCAGCCUUUCUUGAAGCAACUAAAUCACCAAGGAGGUUUUAGGUCAUUAGACACCGGUGAAAACUUCAAACAUGUUGGUCCAAUUUUAUCAAGUGGAAGCUCUGAUGGCUACGUAAUUAAAAGGGAAGAGAAUGAAAGUAUUUCAGAAAUAGGGGAACCAGUAACUAAAGUUUUGAUUCCUGGUCUACCAGAUGAAUCCAAAGGUGAAUCAGGUGCGCCAGUAAAUAGUUGCUUUUGGGAAUGGAAGCCCGAAUUCAGUGUGCAUUAUGAGAAAGCUGGAUGUGAAACCUUAGGCUCCCUUCCAGUGCUGUUUCUGCCUGGUUUUGGGGUUGGUUCCUUUCACUAUGAGAAGCAACUGAAGGAGUUGGGGCUUGAUUUUAGAGUACGGGCUAAGCAGCUGAAUGGAUGGUGUGUAUAUCUAUAUUUGGAUGGUAUGUACUUGGAUUCAUUGAAACAAUUGAGAUUGAGUGCUUAUAUCUUAGCAGCUGACUUUGAGCCUUAAAAUUUUCAGAUAUUUAUGAUGACCCAUUCUUGGGCCCAUUGCAAUAAUUGAGAUUUGAGUGCUUAGGUCUAAGCAGCUGAAUUUGAGUCAUUAAUUUUUCAGAUGUGUAUGAUUUUGAUUGUUCCGUCAGGUUUCUUUAUUAGUUAUUUUCCCCUAAUCACAAUUGUUUCACUUCCAGAAACUAAUGGCAUCAUUCGUUCAUUUUGCAAGAUUGGUGUAUACUAUGGUACUCCACAAGCGACAUUUGGAGGAAUUGCAUUAAAAUUCUUUGCCUCAGUUCGGCUUGAAAUAUGUUCUACAGGGAAGAUAAAGUCUGUAAAUGGAGAGGAAGUAAUUGGAGUUCGGGUUCAUGUAAGAGUGCAAAAGAGCAAGAUGUUAACCGUGUACGAGAGAGUCAAGAAGAGGCGGUGAGUAGAAGGAGGUUCUUUGCAGGCUAGACAAGGUUGAAAAUGGUUUUUUUUUUUCUCUCCCUAUUUUCCUUCAAAACUUUUUGUUCACUUAUUCUCCUUGAAUUUUAUGUUCAAAGUAGUUAAAUUUUCGUCCAAAAUGUUUUAUUUGUGUUUCUUGAUUUGAAUGAAAGUUUGGUAUUUCAUCCUU